rnacentral:misc_RNA from 1 species
UAGAUAGUUGCAGUUGAGCUUAUG